GUUUUUAAUUUUAGUCCGCGAAACAGAAAAGAAAACCAAAAUUUUGCCACCAAAACACUUAUCCAAUUCAUUUCCCUCCUCCAGAUACAUCAAGGAAAAAAACAAGAUUACAAACCCUCUCCCGAUUCUAUUCAACCCUUGAAUCAUGAUAAACCUAAAAUCACAAAGUGACAAGAUCUACACACAGAGCUUGACUCAAAUCAACCUCUCACGAUUCAUCUGAAUAGUGACAAAUAGAGGUGGCGGAGCAGUGCCGGUGGCAAUUCGGAAGACGUCUGUCCUUCAUAAGUAGAGAAGGAGAAGAGGCUUCAAUGGACACGACUCAGAUCUACUCCAAAUUCAGAUGGCUCAUCUACCGCUACGUCUCCGGCUUCGUCACCGCGUCUCCUGCUUUUUCGCCGCGUCUCAAGCUUCGUCUCCGGCUUCGUCUUCGUCGCUGUGUCUCCGAACUAUCCCUCUCGGGUGAUGGUUUACCAAUCAUGAUUACUCUGUUGAGAUUGUUAGAGAAUGAGUCAUAAAAGCUCUCUCUGCUUCACCAGAUUUUCUGCUUAAGCAUAUCACUUAGAGAUGUGUUUUCGGAACAAUGGGAGAUUGUGUGUCGACUAGUAGUAAGAGUAUGUGUAGUAGCUGCAGCAGUGGAGAUGAGCCUGUGCCUCGACCAUAUCUUGGGAUCGGUUGUUGUGUGCCAAGAGAACGUUUACCAGAUCGUAUCAUCACCAGCGGUAAGAGCAGGAGCUCUUGCAUUUUCACUCAACAAGGACACAGUGUAUUAACCCGGACGCCAUGAUUGUGUGGGAAGCGAGUUCUUCCUUUUCUCACUCUUUCUCUCCUUUCUGUUUCUAGCUGUAUAAAGAGAGGCUUUGUGCUUGCGUUUGUAGGAUUUUAUGUCUGAGGAUGUGACCUUAUGUGUUGUAUUCGACGGUCAUGGUCCUUUCGGUCAUCUUGUUGCUUAAGUGAGAGAUAUAUUGCCUGUGAAGUUGCAGUCUUUCUUUCAUGUCCGAGAGUUGAUGCUACAGAAACAUAGUCACAAGGAACGUUCUCCCGGUCCAUUCAAGUGCAGACAAAUUUUUCCAUUUCUCUGAAGUUAGUAAAUCGAUGGCUUACCCAGACAAGAUAUUAAGACUUGGCAAAAGUUAUGUUGGUAGUAUAAGACUUGAAAACAUUCAAGUAAAAUUAUAUGUUUUGUAAAUUUAUUGAAUAUAAUUUUCAGUUCAGUUUA